GGGUUUCUUGUUGAUCAAGUUUUAGUUUUCUGUGGACUGUUGCUUGUCUUUACUUCUUGUUGGGUUUCUUGUUGCUCAAGUUUGAGUAUUCUGUAUAGUUUUCUGUGGACUGUUGUUUGUCUUUUCUUCUUGAUGGGUUUCUUGUUGAUCAAGUUUGAGUAUUCUGUAUAGUUUUCUGUGGACUGUUGUUUGUCUUUUCUUCUUGAUGGGUUUCUUGUUGAUCAAGUUUUAGUUUUCUGUGGACUGUUGUUUGUCUUUUCUUCUUGAUGGGUUUCUUGUUGAUCAAGUUUGAGUUUUCUGUGGACUGUUGUUUGUCUUUACUUCUUGAUGGGUUUCUUGUUGCUCAAAUUUGAGUUUUCUGUGUAGUGUUCUGAAGACUGUUGUUUGUCUUUACUCCUUGGUGAGAGUUUUUGUUGGUCAAGUUUUUUUUAAUUUCCUGUGUAGUGUUCCUUUGACUGUCGUUGGUCUUUACUUCUUUUCACUUUUGAC
rnacentral:lncRNA from 1 species